UCCCCGGUCCCACGCAAUGAGAGCCCACGAACCGUGUCAGGUCGGGAACGAAGCAGCACUAAGAGGUGUCUUUCAUGUGACGUGGGGUACCCGGGGACG
rnacentral:SRP_RNA from 1 species